rnacentral:rRNA from 1 species
GACGAACGCUGGCGGCGUGCCUAAUACAUGCAAGUUGAGCGCUGAAGGUUGGUACUUGUACCAACUGGAUGAGCAGCGAACGGGUGAGUAACGCGUGGGGAAUCUGCCUUUGAGCGGGGGACAACAUUUGGAAACGAAUGCUAAUACCGCAUAAAAACUUUAAACACAAGUUUUAAGUUUGAAAGAUGCAAUUACAUCACUCAAAGAUGAUCCCGCGUUGUAUUAGCUAGUUGGUGAGGUAAAGGCUCACCAAGGCGAUGAUACAUAGCCGACCUGAGAGGGUGAUCGGCCACAUUGGGACUGAGACACGGCCCAAACUCCUACGGGAGGCAGCAGUAGGGAAUCUUCGGCAAUGGACGAAAGUCUGACCGAGCAACGCCGCGUGAGUGAAGAAGGUUUUCGGAUCGUAAAACUCUGUUGGUAGAGAAGAACGUUGGUGAGAGUGGAAAGCUCAUCAAGUGACGGUAACUACCCAGAAAGGGACGGCUAACUACGUG